rnacentral:rRNA from 1 species
UACAGAGGUCUCAAGCGUUGUUCGGAUUCAUUGGGCGUAAAGGGUGCGUAGGCGGCGCGGUAAGUCGGGUGUGAAAUCUUGGAGCUUAACUCCGAAACUGCAUUCGAUACUGCCGUGCUUGAGGACUGGAGAGGAGACUGGAAUUUACGGUGUAGCGGUGAAAUGCGUAGAUAUCGGGAGGAAUACCAGUGGCGAAGGCGGCCUUCUGGACGGAUACUGAACGCUG